rnacentral:ncRNA from 1 species
UUCUUCGUAAUGAACUAUUCAGGAAUAACUUCUUCAACUCAGCCUGUAAAAUGGCAAAGAAGAAUAAUCUGUGUAUGUCAAAAGGGAAACAGCCCAGAACAAGUGUAAAUAUAAGGUUCCAAAAUUAUUGUCAAGUGAAAUAAAGAGAGUUUUUAUCUUAUUCGAUCAGGUGAUGGGCUUAGUGGCUGCCAUUUUUUAAAGACCUCGUAAUAGAGCACUGAUUCAACACCGGAAAAUUUCCGGUGGAUAGAGAUAUCUAAAAUUUAACGGAUCUAAACAAUAUACCGACACCUUGUCUAUAAUUAUAAUUGGUAUCCAUAAAAAAAAUGGUUUGUCUAAUUUAAUUAUGGGGUAGCGGAACGUUGGGUGAUAUUAUUAAAUUAUUCUUUUUAAGAAUAAAAACACAUUAACCCAAGUG